rnacentral:misc_RNA from 1 species
AAGUCGUAACAAGGUUUCCGUAGGUGAACCUGCGGAAGGAUCAUUAUUGAAUUAACUUGUUGGGUUGUAGCUGGCUCCUAGGAGCAUGUGCACGCCCUUCAUUGUUUUUCCACCUGUGCACUUUAUGUAGUCCUGGAAGUCCUGCAAAGGAUAUCCCAGCUCGGAGGAGCAUCAGCUUUUCUGGGUUUCCAGGUCUAUGUUUUCAUAUACCCCAUUAGAAUGUUCAGAAUGUCAUUUAUGGGCUUCAUGCCUUUAAACUAAAUACAACUUUCAACAACGGAUCUCUUGGUUCUC